GCGGUAAAAAAGGGACGAAAAAAUAAAAAACAAAUCUGUCUGAUUCCAAAAUAAAGAAAUUAUAUGUGACGCGGAAAAAAAUCGAAUCCUAUCAUAUUAUAUGUGACACGAUACUAUAUAUCUCUAUCUUCUCUAUCUCUAUAUCUACUUACUUACAAAAUUGAAAGCGUUUCCUCUACUUACUUACAAAAUUGAAAGCGUUUCCUCUACUUACAAAAUUGAAAGCGUUUCCGUUGUCCGUAACAAGUAAUAACGAAAAAAAGGCGAAAAAACAUUAAAACAAAAAAAAUAAUCCGAUUCAAUUUACUUCCGUCGUCCUUGAAAAUUUUAUCUUAUCUUAAUCUUAAUCUAAAUCUUUCCGAGGGGACCGAGCGGCGCCUUCCGUCCCCACCCGCACGAUGAAACGCUUGCCAAAGCAAAAAAAGGAAAAACCAAAAUUGAGCAAAGGGAUAAACUAGAUUGAAGUUCCUAAAAUUAAAAGAGGAUAAACAAUAUUAAAACUCCCCUAACUCGAAAAGAGGGAAUAAAAUAGAUUGAAAUUUCCCGACAAAAUUCCCAAAAUUCGAAGAACCCUAAUUUCAGGUUAGAACCCUAAGAGUUAAAAUCCAAAUCAAUUAACCUAAAGGUUUGGGUUACUUAACGGACUUAAAGCCCCUAAGUUCACCGGAGCUUUCUGGGAAGCGGCACCGCCGCACCUUCACCUCCUCGCAGUCGCCUUGGGUUCCCCGUGCGCGCGCUGACCUGGAGCACCCCUCCACUGUCCUUGGCGUCGGCCCUCCCGCCGACGAGGUCUAGGCCGAGCUUUGAAAGGAGACACCACGUUCGCUGUGGGGCUAGAAAUUCCCACAUUAAUUGGAGAAAAGAAAAGGAGAGUCCAAGUAGAAAUACAAUUCAAAAAUAGCUGAAUUCGGGAUUAAAAAAAGCAAUAUGGAAAGAAGAGUCCAUAUAAUAACCCAAUAUGAGAUUAAUCAAAAUUAAUAAUAAAAAUAAAAUAAAAUUGGAAAUUUGAAAAUAAAAGGAGAGUCCAAAUAGGAAUACAAUUUAAAAAUAACUGAAAUUAGUAAUUAAAAAUAAGGAAUAUUGAGAGGAGAGUCCAUAUAAGAACCCAAUACGAUAUUAGUUAAUAUUUGGAAUAAAAUAAAUAUUAAAUCCAAAAUUAGCAAAAAAAGAAAAUAAGAGUUCAAGUAGGAUUACAAUUUAAAAUUAACUGAAAUUCAGAAUUAAAAAUAAGCAAUAUUGAAACAAGAAUCCAUAUAAAAACCCAAUACGAGAUUAAUUAAAAUUCAGAAUAAAAAAAUAAAAUAAUAUCCAAAAUUAGAAAAACUAAAAGAGAGUUCAAGUAGGAAUACAAUUUUGAAACAACUUAAAUUCAAAAAAAUAAAAAAUAAAAAUAUUAAAAGAACACUAUAUGGUAUUAAUUAAAAUUUGGAAAAAAUAAAUUCUGAAAUUAGAAAAAGAAAUAAAUCAAUUAGGAAUACAAUUUAUAAAUAACAAAAAUUGAUGAUAAAAAAUAAAGACUAUUGAAAAAAGACCAUCUAAAACACACGACGAGAUAAAUUAAUUAACAGGCCUAUAAAAGAGUAAAGUGUGGCGGUUAAUACGACAUAUAAAAUUUUUAGUAAAACACCAAACAGAAUCCUAAUGAUGAUUAAAAGGAGGGACGACAGGCAGGCCGUGAAGCAAACGGGUAAGGCGGUUGCCGGGACUUUUAGAAUGUAAAAGAAAAAAACCCCAUUGAUAAUCCUAUUCGAUUUUUAAAAUCUCAAUGACAAUAAAAAGGAGAAGUAGCGUGCGGGGUGUAUAGGAGGAGUACAGUUGCAUAGCCGCCGACGGUUGGCGAGACUUCUAGAAAAUAAAAAAAUGAAUUCCAACAAUAGUUAUAUUCAAUUUUUAAACACGAACCGCCGCAGGAGGCUCAUCAUCGAAACUCUUCAAGGUUUAUCGUUUAUUUCGGCGACAAUCUCUCCUACUUAUCUAUCUAUCUAUAUAUCUAUUAUAUUAUUAAAACAACCUUGAAAGGAGGCACCACGUUCGCUGCGGGGGUUAGAAAUUCCCACAUUAAUCUAAGAAAAAGAAAAGGAGAGUCCAAGUAGAAAUAUAAUUUAAAAAUAGCUGAAAUUCGGAAUUAAAAAUAAGCACUAUUGAAAGAAGAGUCCAUAUAAGAACCCAAUACGAGAUUAAUUAAAAUUCAGAAUAAAAAUAAAAUAAAAUGUGAAAAUAGCAAAGAAAAGGAAAAGAAGAGUUCGAGUAGAAAUAUAAUUUUAAAAUAACUAAAAUUCGGAAUUAAAAUUAAACAAUAUUGAAAGAAGAGUCCAUAUAAAAACCCAAUACGAGAUUAUUAAAAUUCGGAAUAAAAAAUAAAAAAAAUUGAAAUUUGAAAAAAAGAAAAGGAAUGAAGAGUUCAGGUAGGAAUACAAUUUAAAAUCAACUAAAAGUCGGAAUUAAAUAUAAGCAAUAUUGAAAUAAGAGUACAUAUAAGAACCCAAUAGUAGAUUAAUUAAAAUUCGGAAUAAAAAAUAAAAUAAAUUCUGAAAUUGGACAAAUUAAAAAGAGAGUUCAAGUAGUAAUACAAUUUUAAAACAACUGAUAUUGAAAAUAAAAAAUGAAAAUAUUAAAAGAACACAAUACAAUAUUAUUUGAAAUUCAAAAAAAAUCUGAAAUUAGAACAAGAAAAAUAAGAUUUCAACUUGGAAUACAAUUUAUAAAUAACUAAAAUUAGUGAUAAAAAUAAAAACUAUUAAAAGAAAAGACCAUCUCAAACACAUUACGAGAUUAAUUAAGUUACGGACCUAUAAAGGAGAAAAGUGGUGGCAGUUGAUGGGACAUGUAAAAGCUAUUAAUAAAACAUCAAAUAGAAUCCUAAUGAUGAUUAAAAGGAAGGACGAUGGGCAAGUCGUGAAGCAAUCAGUUAAGGCGUUUGGCAGGACUUCUAGAAAGUAAAAAAGAUAAACCCCAAUGAUAAUUAUAUUUGAUUUUUAAAAUUUCAAUGACAAUAAAAAUGAGAGGCAACAGGUGGGUCGUACAAGAGUACAAUGGCAAAGCCACCGAUGGUUGGUGAGAUUUCUAGAAAGUAAAAAAAAUAAAUUCCAAUUAUAGUUAUCUUCGAUUUUUAUAAUCCUAAUGACAAUAAAAAUUAGGUGGCGGACAGGUUGUAAGGGAGAAUAGUGGCAGGGUUUGACGGGAUUUCUAAAAAUUAUAAAAAAAUAAAACCCAAUGAGACAAUAAACUCAAAAAAUAUAAGGUCCAAUUUUUAAAGGUUCGGGCUUCUAAAAAGUAAAAUAAAUAAACCCCAAUGAUAAUUAUGUUUGAUCUUAAAAUCUCAAUGACAAUAAAGAAAGGCGGUAGCUGGCAAGCCGUAGAGGAGUACUGCAACAACGUCGCCGACGUUUUGCUGGAACUUAUAGAAAGUAAAAAUAAAUGAAUCAAAACGAUAAUUAUGUUCGAUUUUUAAAAUAACAAUGACAAUAAAAAGAAGAUGCAGUGGAUGGCCGUAGAGGAGUAUAAUGGCGGCAGCGUUUUACGGGACUUCUAGAAAUUAUAAAAAUAAAACCCAACAGGACAAUAAACUCUAAAAACUAUAAGAUCCAAUUUUUAAAGGUUCCAAAGAGAUUGAAUAGAAACAGUGGUAGACCGAGCAAGCAAAUAAAGAAGGAUAUGACAGAAGUAAGGGGUAGCAACUGAUGUGGCUUUUAAAAACUAUAAAAUUAGAAACACGAUGAUGAUAAGGUUUGGUCUUUCAAAGUCUUAAGACAACGAGAUAACUAUUUAAUAAACUUUGAGUAAAGGUAUUAAAAAUAUAAAUUUUAUAUGGGUGCUAGCCGCGCAAUUGCGCGGGCCACUCAGCUAGUUAUAUUAUUAAAACAGCUUUGAAAGGAGUCACCACGUUCGCUGUGGGGGCUAGAAAUUCCCACGUUAAUCAGAGAAAAAAGAAAAAUCUAGACUGUUAGAUUAUACUGGGACUAGACUUUGAUGGUGUAGAUUAACUUUGAUAAUAGAAGUCUGAAUAGAAAACAACUGCUAGAUCAAACGGACAACACUGAUCAAGUUCUAGAAUACAAGUCCAAAUAGGUGGACGUACUCCUACUUUGAUUCUUUCCUUAUCCUAGAUGGAUACUAAGGAUCAAUCAACAGAUCAGGUGAUUAGGAUUCAAACACAGUGCGUGCAUAUAUAUUUUGGAGCCGGUAUAAUUAGAAUUAAAAUGUGAUAUUUUUUUUUACCUAUGGAUGAAAAAAAGAGUAAAUAGACCAGAAAACUUAUGCAUCGGUAGAGAUACAUCUCUCCGUCCAACUCGCUAAGGCGUGUUCAAAUUUAGUACGGUCUUAAAAACUAAACUUUAACUUUAAAUUUUUCAUUGUAGCAACAAAAUCAUAAUCAUAUAAAAUUAAAUUUAAAUGAAUAUCCAAUGAUAUUAUUUUUAACAACUAAAAUUUAAUUUAUAAUAAAAUACAGCUUUGAAAGAAGGCACCACGUUCGCUGUGGGGGCUAGAAAUUCCCACAUUAAUCGGAGAAAAAAAAAGAAAAGGAGAGUCCAAGUAGAAAUACAAUCUAAAAAUAGCUGAAAUUCGAAAUUAAAAAUAAGCAAUAUUGAAAGAAGUUUCCAUAUAAGAACCCAAUACGAGAUUAAUCAAAAUUCGAAAUAAAAAUAAAAUAAAAUCCAAAAUUAGAAAGAAAAAAAGAGACCCAAGUAGAAAUACAAUUUUAAAAUAGCUGAAAUUCGGAAUUAAAAAUAAGCAAUAUUGAAAGAAGUUUCCAUAUAAGAACCUAAUACUAGAUUAAUCAAAAUUUAAAAUAAAAAUAAAAUAAAAUAAAAAUUAGAAAAGAAAAGGAUAGUCCAAUUAGGAAUACAAUUAUAAAAUAGCUGAAAAUCGGAAUUAAAAUAAGGAAUAUUAAAAAAAGAGUCCAUAUAAGAACCCAAUUACGAGAUUAAUUAAAAUUGGG
rnacentral:sRNA from 1 species